rnacentral:rRNA from 1 species
CAGCAGCCGCGGUAAUACGAAGGGGACUAGCGUUGUUCGGAUUUAUUGGGCGUAAAGGGUCCGUAGGCGGACUGAUAAGUCAGGGGUGAAAUCCCAAGGCUCAACCUUGGAACUGCCUUUGAUACUGUUAGUCUUGAGUUCGAGAGAGGUGAGUGGAACUGCGAGUGUAGAGGUGAAAUUCGUAGAUAUUCGCAAGAGCACCAGUGGCGAAGGCGGCUCACUGGCUCGAAACUGACGCUGAGGCACGAAAGCGUGGGGAGCAAACAGGAUUAGAGACCCCCGUAGUCCCUGUCUCUUAUAC